rnacentral:rRNA from 1 species
UACGUAGGGACCAAGCGUUGUUCGGAUUUACUGGGCGUAAAGCGCACGUAGGCGGAUCGUUAAGUCGGGGGUGAAAUCCUGGAGCUCAACUCCAGAACUGCCUUCGAUACUGGCGAUCUUGAGUCCGGAAGAGGUGAGUGGAACUCCUAGUGUAGAGGUGGAAUUCGUAGAUAUUAGGAAGAACACCAGUGGCGAAGGCGGCUCACUGGUCCGGUACUGACGCUGAGGCGCGAAGGCGUGGGGAGCGAACGGG